rnacentral:rRNA from 1 species
UGGGGAAUUUUGGACAAUGGGGGCAACCCUGAUCCAGCAAUGCCGCGUGUGUGAAGAAGGCCUUCGGGUUGUAAAGCACUUUUGUCCGGAAAGAAAACUUCGGGGCUAACACCCCUGGAGGAUGACGGUACCGGAAGAAUAAGCACCGGCUAACUACGUGCCAGCAGCCGCGGUAAUACGUAGGGUGCGAGCGUUAAUCGGAAUUACUGGGCGUAAAGCGUGCGCAGGCGGUGCUGUAAGACCGAUGUGAAAUCCCCGGGCUUAACCUGGGAACUGCAUUGGUGACUGCAGCGCUGGAGUAUGGCAGAGGGGGGUGGAAUUCCACGUGUAGCAGUGAAAUGCGUAGAGAUGUGGAGGAACACCGAUGGCGAAGGCAGCCCCCUGGGCCAAUACUGACGCUCAUGCACGAAAGCGUGGGGAGCAAACAGG